AGGGUAGAGGUGCUGUAUUUAAUAGUAAUUCAUAGGAACUGGCAAGUGUUGAUAAUGAAUGAAAGGAAAUACAGCCGAAGAAAAUUUAUUGGCAGAUAAUUUUUCUGGACUUGUACAGAAUAUGUGCAAGGCUGUCGCUUAUUAAAAUAAGUGUUGAGCUACAAGG
rnacentral:ncRNA from 1 species